rfam:Anopheles gambiae str. PEST chromosome 3L, whole genome shotgun sequence.
GUGUCAUUUGAAAGGAGAGCAGGUUAGCACUCCCCUUGACAAGGAUGGAACACAUACCCUGAGAUCAGUGGGCACCCAGAGAAAACCUGAUCUCGGCCAUUUUUUUCGAUGACUUUUAGGUUUUUGC